CUAUGUUGGCUAUGUCUCUUGCGUCGCGCGCAGUUUUGUUUUCUUUCGUCACUCGAGGAGAUCCAGUUCUUCGUGACAUUUUCUCUCGUCUUUACAACAACGCGGCUUCGUAACUUAGCCGCCGACCGCAACGCUAACCCUUUUCUGUCGAGAGCACGCGGGUGGUGGUGGUGGUGUCCGCAGCGUCCCUAGUCCGCGCCGACGGGCAAUGCUACGCCGAUGGCCCUCCGUGCGAUCCGUUUACGGUUCCACACUAAGCCUGUUCGAGGACUCGUCCAAGUACCGCAUGAGCGAUGGGCGGCGAAGUCAAGUGGUCCUCCUGGAUGAGCGUCGCCUCGACAUUCUCAUUCAGCCAAGGCUGUAUGCCUGCGACCUCCUUGAUAUGGUGGCCUCCCACUUCAACCUCAAGGAGAAGGAGUACUUUGGCCUGGCAUUUCUCGAUGAAACGGGCCACUACCAUUGGCUGCAGCUCGACAAGCGGGUUCUCGAGCAUGACCUGCCCAAGAAGUCGUCUCAGGGUUCCUUGGUGCUAUACUUUCUGGUCAAGUAUUAUGUGGAAAGCAUUUCUUUGCUGAAAGAUAGCGCCACUGUAGAAGCAUUUUACCUUCAGUGCAAAUCGCUCAUUGCCAAGGGUGCAUUGGAAGCGGACUCCGAAACAGUGUUUCAACUUGCUGCUCUAGUCCUUCAAGCAACAUACGGGAACUAUGUUGAUGAUCAAACAACAAAAACUCACCUCAAGAAGCUUCCAGUUCUUCCUACCAGCACACUCAAAGCACAUCCGUCCAUCUCCUACUGUGAAGGCAAAGUCAUUGAACAUUACCAGGAACUGGCAGGGCGCUCAAGAGGUUCAGCCAUCAUUGCAUACAUGAACCUUGUUGAAGACCUGCCCACAUACGGUAUUCAUUUUUACGAAGUCAAAGACAAGGGAGGCAUUCCCUGGUGGGUUGGACUCAGCUAUAAAGGGGUCAGCCAGUAUGACUACAACGACAAGAAAACGCCGCGAAGGUUCUUUCAGUGGAAACUAUUGGAGAACCUGUAUUUUCGUGACAAGAAAUUCUCCAUAGAAGUUCACAACCCCAGAAGAGUGGUCCAUGCCCUGAGCAGUUUCAAUGUGUACGAGGAUGUGAUAGAGGCACCCCCCGAAGGGUUUGAUCCCCUGGCUGAUGCCAUUAGUGAUUCCACAACCCAAGUGUCUGUAAGCAGGAGAACUUUCGGGCCUGGCAAUGUGACAGUGGUUGUCUGGUUUGCGGCCACACCGGCCCUGACCAAGAGCAUUUGGUCGAUGGCCAUUGCCCAGCACCAGUUCUACUUGGACAACAAUGUCGGCAAGAGGAAGAUUGAAGACGUGAGCUGCCUGGAAAAGUUCGCCGCCGAGUUGUCCAAGAGUUCCCAGUCAUUGUCAUCAACUAGCACGGGAUCUAACCUGAGCAGAAGCGCGAGUUGCCAUAGUCUUCCCGCCAUCAAAAUUGAAGACCAGACAGACCACUCACAGGUGAACGAAGAGGCUGAGCGGGCAAAGCAGGAAAUGCUGACGGCACUCAAGGCUCGCAAAGAGGCCCUGGAGGAGGCACUGCGGAAGAAGAUCGAGGAGCUGAAGUCUGUCUGUCUCAAGGAAGGCGAGGUGACGGGCGAGCUGCCUCCAGAGAUGCCUCUAGCACCCGGGGAGGCCCCUCCUCAGGUGCGUCGGCGUGUCGGCACCGCCUUCAUUCUCGAUGACCAGCUGCUGUCCAGUGCAAAGAGCAAGGAGGAGACACUAAGCUCGCUUGAGCUGGAGUACGAGCUGCAGAACAAGAUCACGAGCGCUGCUCUGAGGUUGGCCAGUGACAUGAGUGCGGACAGGAGCCUGAGAAGGCAGCGAAAGCUGAGCUACCAACAAGCCCAUGAAAAGCUCAAGCAGGUUGAACAAAAACUGGGAACACUGAAAAAACAGAAGAAUCAUGGCAAACUCAAACCUGUACAGCAGUCUGAUGAUGAACCCAGCGAGGACAACAUCAGUCAAAGCACCGCGGGCAGUGACACUCCAUUUAGAGGAAGCAGCAAUACAUCGGAUGUCAGCCCCACGGCGUCACCGAAGCUUAGCAGCUAUGAUGGCCAUUUAACAGAGAAACGUGGCCGUCUGCCUACAGUCAGCUCGGUGCCCGGUGACAUGCGGCUGUCGCCAUCGCUGGCCUCAGUAUCUGCCCCAGCCAGUCCCUGCAAACAUAGGGCAGUUCCCGGCAGGACUGCAUCCCCCGGUGUGGCUUGGACUGGCUAUGGCUCUGGCUAUGCCCCCAGCAACGUCUACCAGACGAGGACUGCCUACCGCCGCCAACAGUACCCAACGCUCACCAGCUCGGGUUCAGCGGGCUCCAGCCCAGUGCCGCUCAAGUCUCCCUAUAGAGACAGGUUUGAAUCAGGCGUGAAUGUGGAAGGAAGCAAUCUUUACAGUGUGCCAACACAAAGAACAAGCCAGGCAUUUGACAGUCAGGACGAUCUUGUGACAAGCAGCCCUACAGAGCCGCAGGACCUGGGAUUGGUGUCGAGGCACAACAGCCUUGAAGGCAACCGACGCCAUCACCGCCGUGUUGCUGGUGCCUCAUUGCAGCCGGUCUCUCCCACCAAGCGUGACUCAGCGACACCUCCAAGGUCUUCUGCUCCAGCCUGGACUGGUCCUCCAUUGACUCCUCCCAUGUGUCCCCCAGGACAGUGUGCUCCGGGACAGUGUGCUCCAAGACAGUGUGCUCCAGGACAGUGUGGUCCAGGAAAUUGUGCUCCAGGGCAGUGUGCAACAGUGCAGUGUACUCCUCCUGGCCAUUGUGCAAUGGUACAGUGUGCUCCAGGACAACAUGCACCAGUGCAAUGUGCACCAGUGCAGUGUACUCCAGGACAGUGUGUACCAGGGCAGUGUGCUCCAGGACAGUGUGCUCCUGGGCAGUGUGCUCCAGUGCAGUGUACAUCGGUGCAGUCAUCGCCAGCUCAAUGCUGUCCAGCACAGUAUGUUCCAAGUCACUGUGCUCCGAUGCAGUGUCCACCAACGGAGAGAGUUGAAAGCCACCCACGCCUACCACCACACAUUCAGCAUCAGUAUCGUACAGCAUCGCCACUGCAGGUGCGCCGGACUAUUUCCGGCUCACUGUCCUACCCCGAAAGCUUUCCUCCACCAUCGAGCCCAGUAGUUGGUGGAAACCAGCACCACCCCGGCAAGUCUUACUCUUACCAUGAAAACAUGGUGCGACACAUUGACGAGUGUGGAGUGCCUGUGUUUGUUCCUGUGGACAGCGAUGGAAGGCUGCGCUACCAAGACGCAGUACACCGUCCCGCUGAGCCUGUUCCCGUCUAUCACAAGCCACCAAUGUCUCCGGCCCUCAUGCAGCACCACCUUGCCCACCGAAAGAAGCUGCAGGAGGCGUGCAGCGACAACUUUCCGGGCAGGCCAUUGUCUAGCAUGUCUGCCGCCAACUAUCCAGCAUUUCAGCGGGUUCACCCAGACCCUUACCACAGUCAGCCCACCAGCCCGACUGGCUACAGCGCAGCUCACAGUGCCAAACUGGAGACGUUACAAGAGGGACACAGUGGCUCUUACAGCAACCACACUGCAUCGUUGACCGUAUCUUCCUCAAAGGCAUUUGCUUCGGUCACUCAGUCGUACAGCACCGAAACGCUAAAGCAUCGUGCCAAGGACUGGGUGGAGACGUCUCUCGACUCCCCUCUUCCGGCGAGGAAGCCAUCAAAACAGCAGGAGCCGCCUCCCACCUCACCUUCUCACGCCUCGGUGCUAUCGUCGGGCUGUGAGAGCAUGCCCGAAGUGUUCCAGGGUCCCGCAGUGAUGCUUGUCCCGUCACAACAGCUGUCGGGAGGGCAGAGUGACUGCAGAAAGCCCGCAGCUAGAAAGGGACAAGAUUUGUUCUCCGGUGCCCCAGCCCAGCCCGAAAGCGAUGCCGGGUGUCGAGCUGAACAUUGUCACAAUGGGGCACUUCCAGCCCUACUGGGAAGAGACAAAGCCGUACGAGAUCUCGGACUUCUACAAGUACAGCACAAAACAUCGUAAGCCGUCGGGAGGCCAAGAUUCGACUAGAAGCCCAAGCCAGUCUGGCAACUCCAGCGGCCUGGUGUCACCCGUGCUGAUGUCUCCUGUUGCUACUGAUAAUGUGUCCAGGGAGCGGGACGAACAGCUGCACGCUCAUUCUUCACUUGCGGAACACAUGAAGAUGGUGGAAAGGAGUCCUCCAGAUGGAAUGGCUGCUGUUGAGGAACCACAUUCAGGCCGCAGUGCAGACAGUAGCUUGAACCUGGACAGGUCAUCAGUUGCAGAUGCCUUCCACGAAGAAAUGAUUGCGUGGUAUGAGGACCAAGACUCUGGCAAUAAAGCAACACUUGUGUAAAUGAAACUGCAUAUAGAUAAAUUCAGGUGCUAUAGAACAAGAAAAUAUUCAUCAUUAUAUAACUGGACCUUGCAAGUGAGAGUUUUAUAGAAGACAAUGUACAUAAUUGUUUUUAAUUGUGUUCUGCAAAGUAUUUAUUGCAAGCAUCAUCAUUUUAUACAAAUAAAUUUUAUAUUCUUUUUAAAUGCUU
rnacentral:misc_RNA from 1 species